GCUCCAGUCGCGAAAUUGGUUAGCGCGCGUUACUUACACAGCAGUGUUCAGUGAAGUCAUGCUGAGGUUGUGAGUUCAAGCCUCACCUGGAGCA
rnacentral:tRNA from 1 species